CCUUGCAUUCCAUAAUUGUAUCAUGUGCACGUCACACCCAUAAAAUUAAAUAAUGAACUUUAGGUCGUAAACAAAAUAAAAAAAGAGAAUAAUAAAUUAUAAUUAAGAGAAAUAGGAUAAAAAUAAAAAAUUAAGGCUACACAAGGAUAAUAUGUCACGACCCGAAACUUCUUUCGAGCCCGUGACAAUCGUCGCGAAGUCCAGAUAGACAUUCAUUGCCCGAAAUGCCAACCGGAACCUCGCAAGGCUUUAAUAUCAGUUUUUGCACCUCCCCUGUGAGCAACAGUUGUUAAGUAUCAUGUUUUGAGAGAUUAUAAACUAUUUCCAAAUCAAAACGAUAGAAAAAUAAUUUUUUUCUCAUUGGGGCAUUUUGAUCAUUUUUCCUCAAAAAUCUCGAAACCAGCUAAAAUGUAGUAUGUGAGUGGAAAACACAUAUUUCAUAAUCAAAAAUAAGUUUAGAUGUCUAAAACAUUCAUUUAAAGUGAAACUAUAACUAUUUGAAUAUAAUAAAAAUAUUUAAUAAAAUAUUAUAUUUUCUUAUAAAACAAUAUUUAUAGAGUUACCGGUAAAUAAUUUUUAAGUGUAAAAGCUAAAUAAAUUCAUACAUACUGUAAUACAGAUAACCAAAGCAUAAGAUUUAAUUUACAGUGACACAUGGGCCCACGAACGAUCAAAAGUAUCAAAAGCGGUAAACCUACAAUUUUUGAAGAUGCAAGUCCAACUGUAGCCCUCAACGAAAUGAGCUAUCUACCGACUAUCCUAAGCCUGAAAGGGGUGGAAAAGAGGGUGGUAAGAUUAUAUAAUCCCAAUGAGUGAACAAAUACCAUCUAAAAUAUCUAAAGUUGAGUAAAUGGAGACAAAUAAAAUAGUUUAACAUUCUGUGAUUUAUCACCUUUCAACUCAUUUCAACCAAAUAAAAUCAAUUCAUAUAAAUCGAGUAAUCAAUAUGGUUUAUGAAUUUCUUAAAACUUUGGCUCGUGCCAAAAUCAUUCUCAUACUCAGUUAUCAAGGAUACCUUGGCCUAGGGCUAUCCCAACCGAGUCCACCAAGGCUAUUUAAAAAGUCAUGUACGCAUAAAUCAUGUUUUUAUUUUGAAAACAUAGUCGUUCCUUGGCGUUGGUUGAGUUCACCCUCACGUGGUGGUUUGGCGUGAAGUGAACUCUAAAGGUUGUACCUUAGGAGUUACCCUACGCGCCUCCCCAAUCGAGGUAAGAAUAUAACAGGAUUUCGUGCCCCUCUAAUAGGCUGGUCCACAGAACCCGUCCACUGCAGCAAUCUAAACCCACCAUACAAUAAAAUCUCAACCGCAUGACAUGGCAAUUAUAUCACAAUCCAGCCUCUCAAGGCUAAAUACACGGUUCAUAUAUUUCAACACAAAUACUAAUUCAGUCAUUCAUGCCAAUAUUAUCAUAAGCCAUUCAAUUCAAACCAUGAUUUAUAACACAGUAAAUAGUCUCCAAUUACUCCAUUUUCAAAACCAUCAUUCAAUUUCAAGACAAUUUAUAAAGUUAUUUCAUUUAAUCACAUUUUGCUUAUAAAACAUAAAGAUUUACCAUUUAAACUCAUUUUCCAUAAAAUCACAAAAACGAAUUAAAAUUCACUUCAGAUAAUCAAGAUGAUGAUAAGGUUACUCACUAUUUCGAGAGUCGAAUUUCGAGUACUCUGAUUCUUGAUCCUCGGGUACUAUCUUUUUACUUUUGCUAGAAAGCUCACCACCUAGAUAUAAUGCACAAUAAGCCAUCUACUACAUUUGUGCUAAACCGUUGUAAAACCAAUUCAGGCUUUAUACUAAUGCAUGAAAUGGGAUGUGAAAUACUUGGGUAACUAUCUAAAUACGGUGUUCUACACAAAUUCAAUUGGGUACCUAAAUAAGACGGUAUUGGCCUAAUUCGAUCUAUCACCCGAUUAAUUGGCCAAUACGUCCAAUUCAACUCCAAAUAAUUCCAUUUUUCUUCCAAUUCUCCAAAUCACCAAACACAAGUCAAAUAACAUAAAAUUUAGCAAAACCAUCCUUACAUUUCUUCUUGAGAAUUUCGGCCAUGGUGAGUGCAUCAACACUAUGAUUUUUCCUACUUGAUUUUCUCACCAUAAUUCAUCAUUUCCUAACCAAUUCACUUGAAAUAAAAUCAAAUCCACCAUCCACACUCUACAUGGAAAAUUCGGCCAAUGAUGGGUGAUGGGCGAAAAUGAAUUUUUCUUGUUGGCUUUUCAUGCUACACAUCACUAACUAACUAAAAACACUAAAAUACAUUGAAAUCUAACCAAAACAACCAUCAAAAUCUCUCUCUAAGUGUUCAGCCAGCAAGAUACCCAUCAUGAUUUCAUAUGAUUCAACCAUGAAAAAUAAGAAAAAAUGCUUAAGAAAGAGAGAUAUCAAGCUUAAUUGAAAAAUCUUACCUUUUUUUCACUUGUUUCCUUGAAUUUUCACACUUUUCCCUUGAAUUUUUCCAUCUAGGGUUUUGUUCUUCCUUUUCUUCCUUUGUUCUUGCUUUAGCCGGC
rnacentral:lncRNA from 1 species